AGAUGGCGACCGGCGCACGGGUGAGUAACACGUAUCCAACCUGCCGAUAACUCGGGGAUAGCCUUUCGAAAGAAAGAUUAAUACCGGAUAGCAUACGAAUAUCGCAUGAUAUUUUUAUUAAAGAAUUUCGGUUAUCGAUGGGGAUGCGUUCCAUUAGUUUGUUGGCGGGGUAACGGCCCACCAAGGCUACGAUGGAUAGGGGUUCUGAGAGGAAGGUCCCCCACAUUGGAACUGAGACACGGUCCAA
rnacentral:rRNA from 1 species